rfam:Salmo salar isolate Sally breed double haploid chromosome ssa06, whole genome shotgun sequence.
AAGACUAUACUUUCAGGGAUCAUUUCUAUGGUUCGUUACUUGAGAACUGUGUGUCUAAAGUGGUAGGUCUCGCUAUCCGUGAUGACGAUUCAAGAUAUUCCUGUUCAGAGCAUGAAUCUGCUGGCUAGAUAUGACUUUGCUCAUGUUUCUUCUGCCUUUGAUGAUCUUCCCUUGUUCUUCAAUGAACAUGGAUGAAGGGAAUAUGUUCUGAGUGGA